rnacentral:misc_RNA from 1 species
GAUGAAGAACGUAGCGAAAUGCGAUAAGUAAUGUGAAUUGCAGAAUUCAGUGAAUCAUCGAAUCUUUGAACGCAUCUUGCGCUCCUUGGUAUUCUGAGGAGCAUGCCUGUUUGAGUGUCAUUAAAUUCUCAACCGCACUGACUUUGAAUUGGUGUGGCUUGGAUUUGGGGGGAAAAUUGUUGUGGGCUUUUUUGUAUAGUCUGCUCCCCUGGAAUUGAUUAGCGGUACCUUUGUGGAACUGUCUACAGGUGUGAUAAUUAUCUACAUCCUAGACAUCUGCUGGAAUGCUGCUUUCUAAACCUUACUUGUAUUGACAAUCUUGACCUCAAAUCAGGUAGGACUACCCGCUGAACUUAAGCAUAUCAAUAAGCGGAGGA